rnacentral:rRNA from 1 species
AGGACGAACGCUGGCGGCGUGCUUAACACAUGCAAGUCGAGCGGAAAGGCCCUUCGGGGUACUCGAGCGGCGAACGGGUGAGUAACACGUGAGCAACCUGCCCUUAGCUCUGGGAUAGCUCCGGGAAACCGGAAUUAAUACCGGAUAUGACGCCGGCCGACAUCGGCUGGUGUGGAAAGUUUUUCGGCUAGGGAUGGACUCGCGGCCUAUCAGCUUGUUGGUGGGGUAAUGGCCUACCAAGGCGACGACGGGUAGCCGGCCUGAGAGGGCGACCGGCCACACUGGGACUGAGACACGGUCCAGACACCUACGGGUGGCAGCAGUCGAGAAUUUUCUCAAUGGGCGAAGGCCUGAAGGAGCGACGCCGCGUGGGGGAUGAAUGGCUUCGGCCCGUAAACCCCUGUCAUUUGUGAACAAAUUGUUUCAUCUAACACAUGAAAUAUUGAUAGUAACGGAAGAGGAAGGACGGCUAACUCUGCGCCAGCAGCCGCGGUAA